GACAGAGGGUGCAAACGUUGUUCGGAAUUACUGGGCGUAAAGCGUGUGUAGGCGGUCACGUAAGUCGGAUGUGAAAGCCCUGGGCUCAACCCAGGAAGUGCACUCGAUACUGCGUGGCUUGAGUACUGGAGAGGUUGGUGGAAUUCUCGGUGUAGAGGUGAAAUGCGCAGAUAUCGGGAGGAACACCAAUGGCGAAGGCAGCUCGCUGGGACGGUACUGACGCUGAGACGCGAAAGCGUGGGGAGCAAACAGG
rnacentral:rRNA from 1 species